AAUUAAAAUGUUGUUAACUUUGCGAGGGCCAUGAAAAUUCAAUUAAAUGAUACACCUCGAAUUCUAAGGAUUGAAUUAAGUGAGUGCCAUGCAAUUUGUGAUAAUGUUUGGCAUGGCACGCCUUAAUUUCUUUCAAAGAAAUUUGUAUUCGACUUUAAUAACCGAUUGUACAAAUACUAAUGUGCCAUUUUUAACAGAUCUUUACAAUUAUAACCCAACACUUAAUACUACCUUAUACAAUUAGCAACCAAAUAAACUUGUCCUUCAGAAGUUGAACAAAGUGCAGCAAAUUCGUCAAUUUCCUCUAAGCACAAACCACAAUUAAAACAUCCACCUACUGUACUGCUUACCUUCAAAUACAAGUAACAAAUCUUACAACAUGAUUUUAAAUAAAUAAGGAAAUUGCAAAUUUAAAUAAAUUAGAGGUGAUAUCACAGAACUUAUAAGAUAACACAAACUCCAUGCUUUGAGAAUUCAAAUAAGUAGCAACCAACCUGGUCACACAGAUCGCAGCUGCGAAUCAUUCAUGUUGAAAUCAAAGUCACCCAUGAACGGACCUCGAACUAGCGACCUCGCACGUCAACUUCGAAUUGCCGGGAACCUCAAACUGCGAUCUCAACUCUGUUGGCCCAACGUUGCAGCUGCUGAUGCACCACCAACGCGAGCUAAGGCAGUAGCAUCAGUAGGUAUCGAGAGAAAAGGAGAAGCCAGUAGAAGCUCGGAUGAGUGAAAGGAUCGACGAAGCUUGAAAAUCUGGUGCGUGACUGAUUUUGGCGUUCUUUGUGUGAGUCUGUUUAUAUGGGUGUGUGUUUUUCCAGCGAGUCCAUCGCAACAGUGAGAGUAGGGAGAUGAGGUGAAGGUCGGGCUGGUUGUUGUCGUGAUGAAGAGUUGGCGAAGCGAGGCGAUUGGUUUCCGGCGAGGGUCGUUUUUGGUUGAAGCUGGAGAUGGUGUGUGUGUUUUUUUGUGAAAAAGAAAGCCACCUGCUUCGCUGAAGAAAAAUUGCAGGAGUCUAUUUGUAUAGAUUGUGUGUAUAGGAGUGUAUCUUCAAGAGAAGCCCCAGCCGCCGGCCCUUCUUCUGUCUACAUUGUGUAUUAGAAUGUCUAGGGUGUAUAUUAGGUGUACAUAGUAUUAUAUAGGGUAAGGAUUAGGAUAGGGGUAUGGACAUAUGGAUUAUGGGCUAGGGAAUAGACUUGAG
rnacentral:lncRNA from 1 species